UUUUGCAAAUAUUAGCAUGCUUGGAGUUCUGGUCAUAUUAUAUAUGUUUGUAGCUAGCUAAAAGAAUGUGAUGUUAACUUUUUUUAGCCGGCUAAAAAAGAUGGCUUUUUGGUAUUUUUGCCAGGAUAAGGUUUCCCUUAUAGUAUAUGAAUUUGUAGCCGGCUAAAAAUUUGCGAUGUUAUCGAUUUUAGCCUGCUAAUAAAAGGGCCAGCUAAAAAUUUCCCUUAUAGUAUAAGGUUUCCCUUAUAGUAUAUGAGUUUGUAGCCGGCUAAAAUUUUUUGGUCUCGUGUUAAUAUGGAUGAUGUAAAUAUAAUUUGUGUAGCCGGCUAACAUUAUAUAUAUGAUAUCUGGCUGGAAUUUUAUGAUUGCCUAUAUAGAAUCAGAGCAUGUAGUCCAGGACUAACAAAAUAUGUGCGAAACUAUUAAAUGGAAAGCUAAGCGGAUAAGUGGCCUGCUACUAGAGUAAUAAUGAUGCUAAAGUUAGUAAACCCAAAAGCAAGAAUGAAUUUGGACUAUGUAAUGAACAACACCAACGGCUAACCAUAACUUCUCACCACAUUGUCAUUCCCUGGUACAUGAGUGGCUUCUUCAGCAUCAAGAUCAUCAGCCAACAUUUUAACAGGGCCCUGGACAAAAACUACAAAAGUUUCCUAAACUCCUCAUCAUCACAACCAAACCCAUUUCCUUUAUUGCCUCCACCAAACCCACCUCCGCCGCUGAAAAGCCCUCCGGCAGCGGUGCUAAAGGAACAGUCCACAGAACGGAGCCGCUUCGGUACAAGUUAAGCUCUUUCUUGAGCUCAUCAGCUUCCUCUUGCCGUCGCCGCUGCUCUCCAAGCAAAGCUCCAAUCUCUUUCUCAUAAUCAUCCCCAAAUGAGGAAUCUCUAAGCAUCGGCCUUUUUCCCAGUUCAGAAAUCAUUACCUCCUAAAAAUCAAUUAUUAGAGUAUUUGUUCAUACGCUAAAUCCAUUAAAAAAAUUUAAAGAUCAGACUUUUAUACCUCAAAAUACAAUAAUACGCACAAGAAAAUGAUUUAAAGCAACAAGAAAAUGAGAAGAAUAUGGAAAUAAGAUGGGAGAUAGAAAGAAGAUCGAGAUUCGAAGAUUUUGGCAAAUGAAAAGGUUUCAAAAAUGACAAACCAUCUUGUCUGACAUAAAGAUGUCGUAAGGAAAUGGUUUACAAUAUAUAAAUAUCUAAAAGAGGGGAUUUUGAUUACAUGCAACCAGUAACUUAAUCAAAAUAUGUAUUAAGGGUAAAAUGGUCAUGAAAGUUUCGACAGAAACAUUGGAAAUGGUGAAUGUGUAUAUACCUAAUUAAGCUAAAGUGUGUGUGUAGAGUGCAAAUACUCUUUAAAAUAUAUAGUCAAAAAAUGGUCAGAAAAUAUAUCACAUUUUGACCACAUUUCCGACCAUCCAAAAUGGUCAAAAAAAGUUAUGACCAAAUUCUAACUAUUUUAUGAUGAAUAAAUAACAAAUAUGGUCAGAAAAUAGUUAGAAUUUUUUAACCAAAAAUAUAGUCAAAAAGUGGACAGAAAAUUUUGACCAUAUUCUUACCAUUUUCUAAGGAUAUAUGUAGUUUAACCUAGAUCGUAGAUCUGUGUUUCUCAUUCUUAUUUGUUCAGCUUUUUUUUUCAAGAGGCGUUAAACUUCAUUUCAAUUUAUUUUUUCUACUGAUUUUCUCUUAAUCAAAUACCUUCCCAUCCCUUUUUUAUUUCUCUGCUUUUUUAUUUUCUAUUCUGCUACUUCAUCAUCAUGACCUCUCUUUCUUUCAUUGCAUGUCAGGUGGAAAAGCUUCAGUGUUGCUGCUUUCACUAAAUCACCGUCAUUGUUCUUCUACCCCUUCCAAGCUGAGAUCCAUAUUUUGUGUUUAAAGGAGCGUUAUUUAGUGUCAUACUUUGUAAACGAGUAUAAAACCAAACUUGAUUAAUAUACCUAAAUCUGGUUACAGCAUGUUUGGUUUUUGUUUUUCGUUUUCUAGUCUCAUAUUAAUUAAUUUAGUUUUUCAAAUGUAGUAGUCCGGGAAUGAAUAUUUUUAAUCUAGUUCUAAUUUAUCUUAUCAUUUUUGUCAAGACACAACUAGGACGGAACAGUUGAUUGAGACCACGGAGUAAAACAAGACUAAGAAGAACGAAGAAAAACUAAGAAGAACAAAGGAAUUAACUAACGGAUCAUGUUUUUAAUAUAUGUAUUCUUUUGUUUUGAAACAUUGUUCUUAUGUUGCUAAUCUUAUUUUCUUAUGUCAAAUAACAUUCAUUUCAUAUUUAUUCAGUUUUCAGUAUUUUUAGUAUAUUCAUGUUAUUAUUAUAAUUAUUUAAUUUAAAUUAAUAUUUUGAUAAAUGAUUAACUAAUGGUAAAAAAAUAACAAAAAGUGGUUAGAAAUCCAUCAGUAAAUGGAUAAUUAUUUUUGACCAUUUUCUGAUGUUUGUUUUUGACGAUAUUUUUGACCUUUUAUUAUUGUCAAAAUUUUCUGACCACUUUCCGACCGUUGUCAAUUUCUGACGGAGCUUUUUUAACGAUUUUACAUGGUCAAAAUAGAGUGUUUCUAACCAUUUUCUAAUAAAAUUGGUGGUCAGAAAUUGAACUAUUUCUUGUAGUGUACGUCUGCCUUCAAAGAAGAGCCAAUUCCACGUUUUCCACAGCCUCCAUAUGAUCCAUGACCAUAGAAUGAGGAACAGAUCCACUACGAAAGAAAUGUGAAUUGCGUCCCCAAAUUAAUGAGAUAGGUAAUAGAAGGUAUACUCACCUGAGGUAAUGAAGAGAUAAGAGCCAUAUCUCCCAUUAUUUUGCGUACAAAGAUAGAGAAGGAAGACAUGAAGAUCGUCUUCAAUUCGUCCACUACGCUACACAGGAAAAUACGAAACACUCCCAUUAGCAAAUUUAGAGCUAACCCGAAUGGGGUUGAUCCAAAAAAAAAAAGAGCUAACCCGAAUGGUUUUCCUAGUUACUCUGCACAAAACGUCUUUAAGCUUGGGCAGUGCCAGUUUAACAUUUCAUAAUGCCGUAAGCCACUUCAAAAAAACUAUGUCCUUAUAUAUAUCAGUCAAAAUCAUAUGACAAAAGUAAAUAAAAUUAAGCUUUCAUAAUAUAAUCGAAUUUCACAAAAUGUUUAUAGAAAACAAAACAACAGAAUUUAUACUAUUAUUUGCAAAGUAGUUUUUCGCAUUCGAACUCUCACGUUAAAAGUUAAAGCAGUUAAAAUUGAUGAUAACCUUAACGAAUUUUUAUAUAUAAUUUACUAUAUAUAACUAAAAACUAAUUUUAGAUUAAUAAUUUUAGAUUAAUUAGUCAUAUAUAUUAAACAAUUAAUUAUGAAUUAAUAUCAUAAAUUUUCAAAAAUAAAAACAUAUUAAAAAAAUAGUUCUUAGAUAUAUUGUGUAAUUAUCUGGAAAUAAUAUUUUAUAUUAUAACAAUUUAUAAUUAUAUGUUAAUCGAGAAAAAAAUUUGUAUAAAGAAAAUUUCUAAAAUAUUUCUAAUAUGUGAAUCUUUUGAACAUUUAACACAAUAACAAGCAUAUAUAUUUUAAUGAAAACUUUUUCAUAUAUAAAUAGUUUGAUGUUUGAUUUAAACUUUUUGAGAACAUAAAUAAUAACUUAUUUUGUUAGCUUUUAAAUUAAUAAGAUAUAAACUAAUAAUUAUUUGUUAGAAAAUUAUGUCCGCAUGUGUGGCAAAACGCCUUGUUAAAAAUAUGUAUUGCUGAAACAUUGAUUUUCUUGCAUAAUUACUAUUACUAAGAUUGGUGAACAGUGAACACAACAGAAAAAACACUCGGAACAACUCAUAAAUCUUAAUAUAUCAGCGCUGGCUCUGAGAUUUUGGAGAAUUUAUGCGACUUAAUAAAUAAACUGUUUUAAAUAAAUUUAGGGUUUUUUUAUAAAUUUGGUGGUCUAUGUCUAUGCAAUUUUCUUCAAAAGAAUUGGGAGCGCUAGACAAAUGUUUCAUUCGGAUUUUUCUAGAACCGGCUAUGAAUAUAUGAUACUAUUCUCAUCACAAUUUUCUAGUUUAUAAAAAUUUGGAAACUAAUAAAAUGGUCACGUUACUCACGUACCUUGUCAAUACGAAAACAAUGAUCAAAGAACUGAAUCAAUAGAAAUAUAAACUAAAAGUGUAGCAAUAGCAAAAUAAAAAACGGGAAAUUUGGGGCACGGCGGAAGAGAAAGAGGCAACAAGAAAAACUGCUUUGUGUGUCCCUUUAAUCCAGUGGUUUAACUAAAUGUUCAUUAGUGUUUUUAUAAGGUUCAAGUUUCAAUUCCCAGAGAAAACAGUUUAUUAAACAAUUAUGCAGGCUACGGAGGAAAGACUUACAAGGAAUCUUCAAUAUAGUGCAAGUAAACCCGGUCAUGCGUGGAUCUUUAUAGGGCGGCUCAGGUGAUACAGCUAGACGAGAUCUUCAUAAAGCAGGUAGUAUUGUCGCUUGUCGAAUCAUCUAUGUAAUAUUUCUCAUAAUUAUAAUAUCAUAAUAAAUCAGCGUUAAAAAAACUUCUUUGUAGUUAUCUUUUAAUUAGGGUUUUAUUUUUAUUUUAAAAUAGAAAUUUACUAAUAACUAUUUAAUAAUAUAUUAUAACAACUAUAUUUGUUAUAAAAAGUUUAUAAAUAUUGUUAGAAGGUCCAGAAAAUGUUAUUCUAAUUAAAAAGUGCCCACAAGUAUUAUUGUAGCUAAAAAAACUUACAAACUUUAAUUAUUUAUAAACAGCAACAAAAAGAAAAAUCCUAAAACAUGCCCUCUAAAUCUAAUGCACUAAGACCCUGCUUUGUUCGCUUAUGCUGUAGGCUGGCCCUGAGCUUGGGAGAGGUCUUGACCUACCAAGCACUUUCAUGCCAAUCAAGUCUCAAAUGGCCGAUCUGCAGAGUCAUUAUUUGAGAGCCUAGCCAAAUUAUAUCCUGAUUUAGUAAUGUACUCACCCGAAAGAUCCCUUCAUAGCCAAAUACCUCGAUCCAAAUGUGAGACAGAGCUAGUAAGAAUGCCUCUCACUUAUCCCUCGUACUGAGGUAUAUCCCUCAUACGUGUCUCUUUAGAUUAUUUAUUUUCAUAUAUCUUAUAAUUGUUGUUUUCUAAAUAUCUAUCUUCCAACAAAACUCAUAUUAGUUCAUCUUAAAUUUUAUAUGUUAUAUGAAAGCUAUAACUUUAAUGAUGAAUCAGAUUAAAGAUUUAUGAGAAUUCAUCAUGUAGUUUGCUUAAGUGACGAUAAUUUUUUAAAAGAAUCUUAUAAAUUACCCCAUGGUAGAUUUGUUUCAUUAUAGCCUAUUGAUUACUUUCUGUGAAUUUUUGGAUUGUAACCGACUAAAAACUUGUGUCAAAACAUAAGAUAAUAAUAUUGAUUAAUAUUUUUUAUGAGUAAAUGAAUAUGUUAAUUUCUUUUGAUUGAUUUAGAAACAAUUUAGAAUUCAUAAAUAAUUUUUUUAACAAUAUGUAUUUUACACAAGUGGCUUACUAUACCAGUAUUUUUAAAUAAAACUUUUAUAAACUAUUUGGUAGAAAUCAACGAACUAAAAUAAAAAUAAUAUUUUAUGUUUGCUUUGGAAACUUUGGUAACUUAUUUAUAUUCAGAUCAUUUUUGUAGCCUAUACCAUUGUUCAAGAAAAAAAUUCAUUUCAUGUUAAUUUUCUUUUAAUUUGUAUUAGUUUAGAAAUUUAUAUUAAUUAUAUAUUUUAUUUUGAUAAGUUGGAGUAUAUUGUGCGCUAAAUAUUAUAGCAUAUAGAGACAAAAUAGCAAGAGAUGUAUUGGAACCAUCUAAAAUUAAUUAACAUAUAUUAAUAAACAAAAUUAAUUAAUAUAACUAAAUAUCUAUAUGUAUGGGCAGAUGAGGUCAGAGUAAUA